AGUUGCAAAAUAGGAUGGUUUUUACAUCAGAACCUGCUCUACUGGUCUUUGAGGAGAUUAUGAGGUUCAGAUGAUAAAGAUACCAUGAGAUCUUCAAGUUUACAUUAGUAACCUGCAGAUUGUAAACAACCUAUUUCAAAGAUAUGUGUUAUCCAAGAGAAAGUACUAUUAGUACAAGGAGGCCUCAAAAUUUCCCUGCUCUAGUUAAUAAUUUUACAUUAAAGAUAAUUAAUAUUCUUCAGAAAGGAGUAUUUCAACAGGCAGGAUCAAGAAUCACACGACUCCUUUUUUACUGUGUGGGACUGAAUCUUUUUACAUUUGCCCUCUUUUUCAUGCCUUCAGUUUAUAAAAA